UUAAGCGAUAUCUUCGGACUUUCCCAUAUCUUUAUGUCAAUGAAAUCAUUAAUUUUACUAUAUACUUAUCGGGUAAGAUUGUGAUUAUUUGAAAUAUAGAUUAGUAAUAUAGAUCAAAUGAAUGAGUUUUGUUUGUUUUUGUUACUUUUGAUAUGAUGUCAAAUGCAAUAUUAAAUCGAAUUUGUAAUUAUAAAAAAAUACCAUGUUUGGUGGGAAAAUCUAUUGCAAACAUGGAGACUUACUUCCAAUGCAAACUUCAUGGUUGAAAGAAAUUCCAGGUGGAAGAUUUUUGUCUUGUCCACGCUAUCGUAAGAAUGCAUGCAACUUCUUUAGAUAGACGGAUCUUGAAGAUGUUGAUAUACGAUCCAAGUUCGUUAUUCUCAGAUUGACAACAAGACUAAAGGAGUUGGAAACUGAUGAAGAAAGUCAUAUUAAAAGAAGUAAUGAAUGGGUAAUGAAGGAGAAGAAGAAGACAAAAUUGUGUAAGAUGUGGAAGCUAAUCUUGGUGUUUUUUUUUUUUUGUAUUAUUAAGCAUUACCAAGAGGAAUAUUCUGGAAGAUGGAAAAUUCAAAUGUAGUUGUGUAAAACCUAUAAAAUUAUAAUUAUUUUGGAAAUAAAUAAAUAUAGUUUUGCAUUCCUGCUCCAACAUUGA